rnacentral:rRNA from 1 species
CGUAGGGACCAAGCGUUGUUCGGAUUUACUGGGCGUAAAGGGCGCGUAGGCGGCGCGGUAAGUCACUUGUGAAAUCUCUGAGCUUAACUCAGAACGGCCAAGUGAUACUGCAGUGCUAGAGUGUGGAAGGGGCAAUCGGAAUUCUUGGUGUAGCGGUGAAAUGCGUAGAUAUCAAGAGGAACACCUGAGGUGAAGACGGGUUGCUGGGCCAACACUGACGCGGAGGCGCGAAAGCCAGGGGAGCAAACGGGAUUAGAUACCCCGGUAGUCCUGGCCCUAAACGAUGAAUACUUGGUGUCUGGAGUUUUAAUGCUCCGGGUGCCGUCGCUAACGUUUUUAGUAUUCCGCCUGGGGAGUACGCUCGCAAGAGUG